AAUGAACGUUGGCGGCGUGGAUUAGGCAUGCAAGUCGCGCGAGAACCAGCAAUGGGGACAGCGGCGAAAGGGACAGUAAUGUGUAGAUUAUCUGCCCUCGGGUCCGGGAUAGCUGCGGGAAACUGCAGGUAAUACCGGAUAACAUCUCCGGAUCAAAGGUGUGAUUCCGCCCGAGGAUGAGUCUACAUCCUAUUAGCUAGUUGGUAGGGUAAUGGCCUACCAAGGCUUUGAUGGGUAGCAGGUGUGAGAGCACGACCUGCGUCAUUGGGACUGAGACACUGCCCAGACACCUACGGGAGGCAG
rnacentral:rRNA from 1 species